GAGGUGAAAUUCUUGGAUUUAUGAAAGAUGAACCACUGCGAAAGCAUUUGCCAAGGAUGUUUUCAUUAAUCAAGAAUGAAAGUUGGGGGCUCGAAGACGAUCAGAUACUGUCCUAGUCUCAACCAUAAACGAUGCCGACCAGGGAUCGGUGGAUGUUGCUCUAAGGACUCCGCCAGCACCUUCUGAGAAAUCAGAGUGUUUGGGUUCCAGGGGGAGUAUGGUCGCAAGGCUUAAACUUAAAGGAAUUGACGGAAGGGCACCACCAGGAGUGGAGCCUGCGGCUUAAUUUGACUCAACACGGGAAAACUUACCAGGUCCAGACAUAGUAAGGAUUGACAGAUUGAGAGCUCUUUCUUGAUUCUAUGGGUGGUGGUGCAUGGUCGUUCUUAGUUGGUGGAGCGAUUUGUCUGGUUAAUUCCGAUAACAAAUGAGACCUCAGCCUGCUAACUAGCUAUGCGGAGGUUCCCCUUCAUGGCCAGCUUCUUAGAGGGACUAUGGUCAUUUAGGCCAUGGAAGUUUGAGGCAAUAACAGGUCUGCGAUGCCCUUAGAUGUUCUGGGCCACACGCGCGCUACACUGAUGCAGUCAAUGAGUUUUUCUCCCUGGUUCGAGAGGAUCGGGAAAUCUUCUCAAAUUGCAUUGUGAUGGGGAUAGACCAUUGCAAUUAUUGGUCUUCAAAGAGGAAUUCCUAGUAAGCGUGUGUCAUCAGCUCGUGUUGACUACGUCCCUACCCUUUGUACACACCGCCCGUCGCUCCUACCGAUUGAAUGAUCUGGUGAAGUGUUCGGAUUGCGUCAACGAGGGUGGUUCACCGCCGACGAUGUCGUGAGAAGUUCAUUGAACCUUAUCAUUUAGAGGAAGGAGAAGUCGUAACAAGGUUACCGUAGGUGAACCUGCGGUAGGAUCAUUG
rnacentral:ncRNA from 1 species